rnacentral:tRNA from 1 species
UGGGGUGUAGCUCUGUGGCAGAGCGCCUGCUUUGCAUGCUUGAGGCCCUGGGUUCAAUCCUCAAUACUACAA